rnacentral:snRNA from 1 species
AUCGCUACUCGGCCUUUUGGCUCAGAUCAAGUGUAGUAUCUGUUCUUAUCAGUUUAAUAUCUGAUACGUCCCCCAUCGGGGGACUACAUAUUAAAUGGAUUUUUCGAACAGGGAGUCGGAAAUGGGGCUUGCUCCGUCCGCUCCACGCAUCGACCCGGUAUUGCAGUACCUCCGGGAACGGUGCAACACUU